rnacentral:rRNA from 1 species
AGGACGAACGCUGGCGGCGUGCUUAACACAUGCAAGUCGAGCGGAAAGGCCCUUCGGGGUACUCGAGCGGCGAACGGGUGAGUAACACGUGAGUAACCUGCCCUUGGCUCUGGGAUAGCUCCGGGAAACCGGAAUUAAUACCGGAUAUGACUGCGGCCGACAUCGGCUGUGGUGGAAAGAUUUAUCGGCCAGGGAUGGGCUCGCGGCCUAUCAGCUUGUUGGUGGGGUAACGGCCUACCAAGGCGACGACGGGUAGCCGGCCUGAGAGGGCGACCGGCCACACUGGGACUGAGACACGGCCCAGACUCCUACGGGAGGCAGCAGUGGGGAAUAUUGCGCAAUGGGCGAAAGCCUGACGCAGCGACGCCGCGUGGGGGAUGAAGGCCUUCGGGUUGUAAACCCUUUCGGCAGGGACGAAGCGAAAGUGACGGUACCUGCAGAAGAAGCGCCGGCUAACUACGUGCCAGCAGCCGC